rnacentral:rRNA from 1 species
GACGAACGCUGGCGGCGUGCUUAACACAUGCAAGUCGAACGGAAAGGCCCUGCUUUUGUGGGGUGCUCGAGUGGCGAACGGGUGAGUAACACGUGAGUAACCUGCCCUUGACGUUGGGAUAACUUCAGGAAACUGGGGCUAAUACCGGAUAGGAGCUCCUGCUGCAUGGGGGGGGUUGGAAAGUUUCGGCGGUUGGGGAUGGACUCGCGGCUUAUCAGCUUGUUGGUGGGGUAGUGGCUUACCCAGGCUUUGACGGGUAGCCGGCCUGAGAGGGUGACCGGCCACAUUGGGACUGCGAUACGGCCCAGACUCCUACGGGAGGCAGCAGUGGGGAAUAUUGCACAAUGGGCGGAAGCCUGAUGCAGCAACGCCGCGUGCGGGAUGACGGCCUUCGGGUUGUAAACCGCUUUCGCCUGUGACGAAGCGUGAGUGACGGUAAUGGGUAAAGAAGCACCGGCUAACUACGUG